CGGGCUCCACCACUCUUUGGCAAGUCACAACAACGGACACCACUCCACUCUCUGUAACAAACUCCACGUGGCCCUGAACGGCCCCUGAUGUCACUACUCUCCGUAACAAACUCUGCAUGGCUCUGAAUGAACCACUACUAGAUGGUUACAGACAUCGCUGUCAAUCAGUUACGCUCUCCAUCUAUAAAAAAGGACCCCCA
rnacentral:lncRNA from 1 species